UAGGUCAGAAGAACCUAAUCUUCCCUGACCAUUUUAAUAAUGAUUUUGGAGAUCACUGUUGGGUUAGAAGAAAACAGGAACAUUUUGAAACGGAUUGGUCCCCUACCUUUUCCUAAGGCUCUUGCCCCCAUCAAAAGUUACCAGAAAGGUCAGAGGACCAGCUCUUCCUACAAGAGUCUCUCCCCCUGAUUCUCAGACAGCCAAUCAACUUGGGCCAGCCUUAAUUCUUAAAGGCCAACCAGGAGACCACGGGGAACUUGGAGCAGUAUGAUAACACAGAAGGUUGUCGCUCACCUGACAGCUAUAAACAAGGGCCAUGAAGAUGAUCAAAUCAGGAGGAGAGAAGAGUUGGAGACUUGACACAAGUGGGAGGUAGAUAAGCUGGAACCAACUAGAGGAAGAAAAAGACUAUUAGGCCAAAACAGCAAGUUACAGUUGAUGAGAUGACCUGAGACAAGUCCACUACUUCUUCUGUCCCUGGGGUGGGGAACCAUUUUCAUUUAUCCAUUCAAUACUCUCUUCCUGUUUUCCCUUCCCAUCCAGGGCUGUGACUGGGAGAAAGUCAUUUUUCCCCCUUCUAGGCUGCCAACCAAAGCACCCAAGUCUGUAGUGUGGAGGUUUUGUUCAUUUAAUCACUGAAUUUCAUUGAUAUACUAUUUCUAGUUGUUAUUAGAAAUUUCAUGGCCAAAGAUCAUGACUCAUAUUUGCUAUGAAUGAAUAAGCGGGUCUGAGAAGGUAGAAGUUAACCCAAAAGGGGAAAAGAGAUAUUUGCUGCAGCUCAAGCUGAUGGGGGAGCAAAGACAAUUAAGAGAAAGUGUGCCCAUUAUUCUUAAUACUUUUCUGGAGCACAUAUGCAUAAAUAUACUUACACAUCCUACCCUUGGACUUUUCCCUUUUGAACCUGGACAGACAGAGACUAAUGAGGAAAAAAGACAAAAAGCUAU